UGGCUUUUGUUUCGCGGCCUUUUUCUAUGAAGAUGCACAUUCUUGUCUGAAGUUUUUCAUUGACACGAACUUUGUGAUUCUAGUUCCAUCUGUAAUGAUUUUUCUCAAAUCUUUAAUGGGAUUGAUUGUUUUUUCAUGUACUGAUCGGCAGAGUUAGGAGUGGAGCAAUGCAAAUGGAUCCUAUUCAGCUCGCUCUGGGUUUCAUGCUUCUUGGCUCAGUUCUCAUUUCGGCCGAGGAACUUGAUUUUGUUCAUUGUGAAAGAGUUGUGAGAAAGCGAGUGGAUUCUUCUUCUCUUGAAGAAAACAUCAGCGAGGAAAAAAGCUCGCAUGUUUUCACUGUUUUCUGAGGAAGAUGUAUGAUAGCACUGACGAAUGCCCCCUUUCUUAUGAUAAACUCCACUUCGAUCCGAGAGAUAUUUCCAUGGGAGAACUUGUCUUAUUACAUCUUGGCCCAGCAGAUUCUUAUGAAUCUCUCUGGGGUUCGGCUUUUAUAGAGAAUUUUGUCAUCAAUAAAUGUUAAAAGCCUCGGUGAAACUGUUCUUCAAGCUGCAAAGAGGAGGUUGGACAGCAUGCUGUACGUUGGACUGACAGAGGAGCAUAGAGAAUCAGCAUCUCUUUUUGCGGAAGUAGUGGGUUCUCAAGUGCUUUCUCGGGUUGUUCUGAAUUAUGGUGGCUGGAAUAUCGAGUAACUUAAGUUUAAGAAAGUUGCAAGGAUUAUUCUUUAAGCUACCCUUUUACCUGUAUCACAUGGGAAAUGCUCUUCUUGGUGAGGGUACAAAUAUUACCGAUGAUGAGUUCACCCAAAAACAGCAGUUCUUGAUGGUAUGACUAAGUCUUAAUUGUCCCUGAUUGUGAAGGUUUCUGCAAUCCUUUUUUGUACAUGUCUAAUUCCAUCAAGUGUAUUUUUACCCUUAUUCACGAGUUAAUUAUAGUUUCGUGGAGUUAGAAGAUUGGUGGAGCCUAUCUAUUGCAUUUGUUACACCUAAAGACAUGCUCACAAAGUAUAUUGCUGUGCUCCCGAGCACAAAGCUCUAAACUUCAUUUUCUCGAUGAUGCGGAACCAAGAGUCAAAAUCUCGGAAUCAAGAUCGGGGAAUGGUGAACGCCAGGUAUAAUCCAACUCCGUAUCACAACAGUUCCUCAGUUGUCGGUUAGGGUAAUAUUUUUUCCAACAGUGUAUGUGACAUCAUAGAAUGAUGCAUCUGAAGUAGCUCUGGAUAAGGCAGAAACUAAAAGUGAGAA